rnacentral:misc_RNA from 1 species
AACUAAAGCUCCAUAAAUGCUAUUAAUAGUUGCAAAGUGAACUCAGAGAAGGUUUUCCAACAUUAAACAUAAUCAGGUUAAAAAUGCAGAAAAUAAGUUUUAAGGGUUAAUACUGAGGAUGUCUCAAUUUCUAACAAUGAUUAAUGAACUUCAUAACAAAUUGUGGAAGGAAGAGUCAUGAGUUAGAAGUGAUAAAGAAAAAUGGAAUGAUUUUGUGUUGGACAAAGUCAGGAAUACUGGUUAUGCAUGGCAUAAU